rnacentral:rRNA from 1 species
CCAAAAAUCUAGCCCCACUCUUUUUACAACUUCUAACCCCAAAUAAAAUAUUUUUUCAACAUAGUAAAGAAGAUUAAAAAAUUUAUAGGAGCUAUAAAACUGUACCGCAAGGGAAAAAUGAAAUAAAAAUGAAACAACUUUAAAGCACAAAAUAGUAGAGCCUCCACCUUGUACCUUUUGCAUCAUGGUUUAGCUAGUUUACCUGGGCAAAAAGACUUUUAGUCCAACUUCCCGAAACUAAGUGAGCUAUCUUAAGGCUGCUUAUGAGCUAACCCGUCUAUGUUGCAAAAUAGUGGGAGGACCUUAAAAUAGAGGUGAUAAACCUAACGAACUUAGUCAUAGCUGGUUUCUCAAGAAAAGAAUUUAAGUCCAACCUAAAGCGAAUCAUUUUAAUUUAAAACCACCCCCACCCUUUAGAGCAAUUCAAAUAAGGUACAGCCUAUUUGAUCUAGGAUACAACCUUUACCAAUGGGUAAUACCUAACUCACCCCUAAAGUGGGCCUAACAGCAGCCAUCUUUUAAAAGCGUCAAAGCUUAAUCGUGUAAUAUUAAUCCCCAACUUCCCAUCAACCCCUUCAAUACCACUGAGAAAUUCUAUAUUAGUAUAGAAGUUUUUAUGCUAAAACUAGUAACAAGAGUUACAACCUCUCCCCAUGUAAAUCUAAGCCAGAAAGAACCCAUCACUGGCAAUUAACAGACUUAAACAAAAGUAUUAACUAUUCUAGAAAACCUUACUUUUUCCCUCUGUUAACCUAACACAAGAACAUCUCAGGAAAGAUUAAAAGAAAAAGAAGGAACUCGGCAAAUAAAAGCCCCGCCUGUUUACCAAAAACAUCGCCUCUUGAUUUUUAUAAGAGGUCUAGCCUGCCCAGUGACCUAGUUCAACGGCCGCGGUAUUCUAACCGUGCAAAGGUAGCGUAAUCACUUGUCUUCUAAAUAAAGACUAGUAUGAAAGGCCCCACGAGGACUAAACUGUCUCCUUUUUCUAAUCAGUGAACCUAACCCCCCCGUGAAGAGGCGGGGAUAAAAUAAUAAGACGAGAAGACCCUGUGGAGCUUAAAACAUUAUAACACCUGUAACCUAUUUAUUCACUCAGGUAUUUUACCUAGUUCAUCAUGAUUAUAAGUUUUUGGUUGGGGUGACCGCGGGGAAAAAAUUAUCCCCCACAAUGAAUGGACCCCCCAGGCCUAAAGCUACAACUUUACGCAUCAACAAAUUGACAUCCUUUGACCCAAUACGUUGAUCAAUGAACCAAGUUACCCCAGGGAUAACAGCGCAAUCCACCUUGAGAGCCCCUAUCGACAGGUGGGCUUACGACCUCGAUGUUGGAUCAGGAUAUCCUAGUGGUGCAGCCGCUACUAAAGGUUCGUUUGUUCAACGAUUAAAACCCUACGUGAUCUGAGUUCAGACCGGAGUAAUCCAGGUCAGUUUCUAUCUAUAAAAGAGCUUUUUUUAGUACGAAAGGACCAAAACAGCAUGGCCAAUGUCCACUUAAGCCAUAGUUAAUCAUCUCUGACCCCCACUCAAGAACAAUUAGCCUUAUUUAAUAACUCAAGA